rfam:Schistosoma mansoni strain Puerto Rico chromosome 5, complete genome
AACUUUCUGAAUCCUUGCUGAGAUUCCGUCAGAUACCAACCCAUCACGGCUGGUGAUACUUCCAAGAUGAGUGAAGUG